rnacentral:rRNA from 1 species
AUUGAACGCUGGCGGCAGGCCUAACACAUGCAAGUCGAACGAGUGGCGGACGGGUGAGUAAUGUCUGGGAAACUGCCUGCUGGAGGGGGAUAACUACUGGAAACGGUAGCUAAUACCGCAUACCAUCGGAUGUGCCCAGAUGGGAUUAGCUAGUAGGUGGGGUAAUGGCUCACCUAGGCGACGAUCCCUAGCUGGUCUGAGAGGAUGACCAGCCACACUGGAACUGUAACACGGGCCAGAAUCCUACGGGAGGCAGCGGUGGGGAAUUUGGCACAAUGGGCGGAAUCUUGAUGCAGCCAUGCCGCGUGUGUGAAGAAGUCCGUCGGGUUGUAAAGCACGUUCAGCGAGGAGGCGUUACUCGCAGAAGAAGCGCCGGCUAACUCCGUGCCAGCAGCCGCGGUAAUUC